UGAGGAAUAUUGGACAAUGGGCGCAAGCCUGAUCCAGCCAUGCCGCGUGCAGGAAGAAGCAUCUAUGGUGUGUAAACUGCUCUUGUACGGGAAGAAACACUCUUCCGUGAAGGAGCUUGACGGUACCGUAAGAAUAAGGAUCGGCUAACUCCGUGCCAGCAGCCGCGGUAAUACGGAGGAUGCAAGCGUUAUCCGGAAUCAUUGGGUUUAAAGGGUGCGUAGGCGGUUUAGUAUGUCAGUGGUGAAAGGCCGUCGCUCAACGAUGGAACGGCCAUUGAUACUGCUAGACUUGAAUUAUUAGGAGGUAAGUAGAAUAUGUAGUGUAGCGGUGAAAUGCAUAGAUAUUACACGGAAUACCGAUUGCGAAGGCAGGUGACUACUAAUGGAUUGACGCUGAGGGACGAAAGCGUGGGGAGCGAACA
rnacentral:rRNA from 1 species